rnacentral:lncRNA from 1 species
UCCAUUGCAGCAAUUUUAGUGUGCUACCCAACUUUUUGUAGCCCUAUUUGCAAUCUGGGUACAACAACUUUUAUGAUCCUCCAACACCUUCUCAAACUUCUUUAUCUCCUUCGUAUUUUUUGAGUCUUUCUGUGCAUCUAACAAUACCUGACCUAGUUCGUCAGCUGGUUCAUCUUCUGCAAAAUCUUCUUCAGCCUCACCCAUUGUAGUAUUUGCAAAGGCACCCCUUUCAGCCUAGUCUGGAAUGUUGUUAUCAUCAUCAUAUUCUUCUCC